rnacentral:rRNA from 1 species
CUACGGGGUGCAGCAGUGGGGAAUAUUGGACAAUGGGCGAAAGCCUGAUCCAGCCAUGCCGCGUGAGUGAUGAAGGCCUUAGGGUUGUAAAACUCUUUCAGUAGGGAAGAUAAUGGCGGUACCUACAGAAGAAGCCCCGGCUAACUUCGUGCCAGCAGCCGCGGUAAUACGAAGGGGGCUAGCGUUGUUCGGAAUCACUGGGCGUAAAGCGCGCGUAGGCGGCUUGCCAAGUCAGGGGUGAAAUCCCGGGGCUCAACCCCGGAACUGCCUUUGAAACUGGCAAGCUAGAGUCCGGUAAGGAUGGUAGAAUUCCUAGUGUAGAGGUGAAAUUCGUAGAUAUUAGGAGGAAUACCGGUGGCGAAGGCGGCCAUCUGGACCGGUACUGACGCUGAGGUGCGAAAGCGUGGGGAGCAAACAGGAUUAGAUACCCUCGUAGUC